GACGAACGCUGGCGGCGUGCUUAACACAUGCAAGUCGAACGGACAGGCCCUGCUUUUGUUGCGUUCUCGAGUGGCGAACGGGUGUGUAACACGUGAGUAACCUGCCCUUGACUUUCUGAUAACUUCAGGAAACUGGGGCUAAUACCGCAUAUGAUCUCCUGCUGCAUGUUGGGGGUUGGAGAGUUUCGGCUUUUGUGUCUGUACUCGCGGCGUCUCAGCUUGUUGGUAAGGUAGUUGCUUACCAAGGCUUCGACGGGUAGCCGACGUGAGAGAGGGACCGGCCACAAUGGAAGUGAGACGCGGUCCAGACGCCUACGAGAGGCAGCAGUCGGGAAUCUUACGAAAUGGGGGAGAGCAUGACGGAGCAACGGCGCGGGAGUGAUGAAGGCCUUCGGAUCGUAAAAAGCUGUUAGUAGGGAAGAACAAAUGUGUAAGGAACUAUGCAGGUCUUGACGGUACCUAAUAAGAAAGCCACGGCUAACUACGUG
rnacentral:rRNA from 1 species